rnacentral:tRNA from 1 species
GUGUUGCGGCUCAGUGGUAGAGUGCUUGCCUAGCACAUGUGGGCCCUGGGUUCGAGCCUCAGCACCACA